rnacentral:rRNA from 1 species
UACGUAGGUGGCAAGCGUUAUCCGGAUUUAUUGGGCGUAAAGGGAACGCAGGCGGUCUUUUAAGUCUGAUGUGAAAGCCUUCGGCUUAACCGGAGUAGUGCAUUGGAAACUGGGAGACUUGAGUGCAGGAGAGGAGAGUGGAAUUCCAUGUGUAGCGGUGAAAUGCGUAGAUAUAUGGAGGAACACCGGUGGCGAAAGCGGCUCUCUGGCCUGUAACUGACAUUGAGGCUCGAAAGCGUGGGGAGCAAACAGG